rnacentral:lncRNA from 1 species
GGGGACAUUCUCACGCACAGUGUUUUUUUUCCUUUUUUUCCAUUUUUUGAGCUCUUUCUUCUUCACGAAGGCACAACAAAAACUCCAUACAUGCACAGACCACACGGGAUUCUUCCAUUAAACACACAAAAUACACUGAUUCACACAAAAAACACAAAGACCCACCAUGAACGGAGAGAAAACCCUAUAGAGAGAGAGAUUUGAGCAUGAGAGAGGAGAGAAAACGCGCGCUAGAGAGGGAGUGAAACGUGGGAGCUGAAAAAGAAGAGAAAAAUCAGAGAGGAACAGUUAUUCCGGCGAAUUCUCACCGGAAUCGCCAAUCGGAGAACACCGCUAGUCAUCGUUGUUGUUGUUCCGGCCGAUUCUGGAUGGAGAACAUCAUCAACCAUCUGAAAUUCAUCGAGAUUUGGUCUGUUUCCGUCCAAUUUCAUUGAAAAUUUCAACAAUCUGUCAAAACCCUCUUUUCCUGUCACUAUUUCAAGCCUAUCAGAGUUUUCCACUCCGAUCGAAUCAUCGUCUAAAAUCGAUAAAAAAAUAAAAAGACUGUGUUGUUACCUUGUCGUCUUCAAACAGUUGAGGAGGCCGAGACUUAACGAGUUGACCGUGAAGGUGGAUGGAUUUGUUGAGGUUCCGUGGCUUUGUGAGUUCCGAUCCAUCUUGGUUGUUCGAAAUAAAAUCGUCAAAUUGAGGUCCAAUUCUACUUCCUUUGUCUUUUUAUUUCAUCGUUUAUUCUAUUCGGAACAUGAUAUGAAUUGUUGUUACGAUUCUGUGAUUCAUUUUGUGAUAAUGGACUGCGUGUUGAAAUGACACAUUAUUGAUGUUUAGAAUGGAUUUGGGUCAAGAAUCGAAAAUUGAUAAAAGUGAAUAAUAUGGUAUUUUGAUUCAUCGUUGAUGUUGAACGUUAUAUGUCGUCGAGCGGGUAGGCAAACAGUAGGCUCGGGUAGGCAAAUUUAGAAUUGGUGAAAUUGUUGGAGUGUUUUGAAUAUUUGUUGGAUGUUUUUCUGAUUUAUCGCAUGAAAUUGACAUUGUAUUCAUUUGCCGGGGAAUUCCCCAGAGGAAUUGUAUUUAUUCACCGGGGAAUGUCCCGACGUAUCAUGUACUCGAAGGAUGCCCAUGAUGAAGGCCCAAAGCAUUGGGUAAGGCAUUGGAGCGUAGUUUGGUGUAAGUUAGCGUAGUUUACUUUUCAGUACCUUUUUCAUUUUGGGUUGUAAUAAUUGGAUUGUAUACUAUAUUUUGGAAUUCGUUUGUUUUGUUUGUUUGAUUGAUCGUUGUAUGUGUUUUGUGUAGUUUAUACAUUCGUAUUGUCAAAUUAGCCGAUAUACUUUGCCAAGCGACCGUGGUCGAACCACGGGAUCGAGAGGUUCCUAACACCUUCCCCUCGGUCAACAGAAUUCCUUAACCAGAACCUCUAUUCGCAAAUCAGAGUCAACCAUUUUGAAAAAGGAUAUCCAUGUGUGACUAGGCACACCCGAUUUAUGUCAAGUGGCGUCUCUGAGUUUUGAAUAUAAUGAAUCCUUUUUGAAACAGUUGGUUUUUUUUGUCACUUAAUAAUAAAAACUCUUUCAAACUUAAAACGAUAUAAUCUUUUUGGAGUUGAAAAAGGAGUGUGACAGCUCUGGCAACUCUGCUGGGGAUUUUUUCAGAAUUCGAGCUUAUUUUUGGAGUCGUAUCGGCUUUGUUUGGCAUUAUGGGUGUAUAAACAUUAUUUGUGAUUAUUGUUUGUGUUAUUGUUAUCACUAUUAUGCGUUUCUGUGCUCUUUGCUUACAGUUUUUCUUUAUGUGUUACCGCGUUAUAUCUGGCAUCAUUGGCAUAACCCGAGUCAAUUCUUUCUGCAACAAGUCCCAGAGUGCACGUCGUGCGCACGAACUCUAGUUGAGUCACCCUUAUUUUAGGGUGGAGCCGUUGGAUGUAUGGAGUAGGUGGAAAGCAAAGCAGCCAUUAUCGACCAUAUGCUCCCCCGAAAGGCCUUGUUAGUAAACCACAACGUAUAUCAGCCUUUAGGUCAUUCUUAUGUGCAUCAUAUGGAGACCUAGCGAGGCCCACACGAUCCUUUGUAGGAGACUCACCUUUAAAGCAUCCCUGCGUGCUAAAUGUUGUAUCUCUGAGGGUAACGUGAUCAUUUGACGAACUGAUUUGGGGAAAGCAUGUGUUAGAAGUAAAGUGUGUGGGCGAUAAAAAAAAAAAAAGAGAUAAAGGAAAGUAAGUCAAAGAGAAAAAAAAAAAGAGCUUCGUAAUUUAUUUUAGAGUUCUUCAAGGCUUUUGUUCUUCGCAACCCAAAAAUUUUAAAAAAAGGUUUUUUUUACCUAUUGCAUUUUAUUGUUUUCAAAAUAAUGAAAAUUCAAAGAUUUUGUUUACCUUUUAUAACCAUUUGUCAAAAAACAAAAGCAUCAAAAACAUUUUUCUUUUGAAAACUUUCAUAAUUCAAAAACUUCAAACACUACUAAAAAACUGCCAAAAAGCGACGGCCAGCAUCGUUUUUUUAGGCAAAAAGUGAUGAAAAGCUGUCGCUUUUUUUGCAUCUCAAAAAGGGGCUUGGUUUUUGGUAAACGGCGGUCAGCGUCGUAACGUCGUGUUUAGGGUAAAAAAAAUUUUUAGUUAUUUUUUGAAAAAACAACGUUGUGCGUCGCUUUUUGUUCUUCAUGUAAAGAACACAUGAUGAACAAAAAAUGACGCAUAGCGUCGCUUUAUUGAAGGAAAAAUUUUUAAAAUAAAUCAGAAAAAACGACAUUGUCCGUCAUAUUUUGAGGGAAAAAAAUUAUUAUGAAGACAAAAAGCGAUGUUGAUCGUCGCUUUUUGUUCUUCAUAAUGAAGAAAAAAGCGACGUUGGCCGUCGCUUUUUGUUCUUCAUAAUGAAGAAAAAAAGCGAUGUUGGACGUCGCUUUUUUAAAAUUUAUUUUAAAAAUUUCAAAAAAGCGACGAACAAAAGGGACCAAUGUCCGUCGCUUUUUUGCAUUGUUUUGGAUGCAAAAAUCAGCAUUUUUGCAUCCCACCUGCCAAAUAAAAAUACAAUUCAAUAUAUAUAGUGUCAAUCAACACACAUUUCUAAAAUAACCAUACAAGGCACUAUAUUAUCAAAACAUUUAAGAAAUUCAAAUCAACACUCCUUAAACAACCAAAUCCAAGAUACAAGACACUUAAUAAUUAAUUCAACAGCCACCAAAAUAUUAAACAAUCCGAAAGCUUUUUCAUUGGAGUCUACAGAUGUCCGAAAUUUCUUUUUAGCAGUUGACUUUGAACUCUUAUAAAGACGAGGUCAAUCAACGUCACAAACGGAUGUCAUUUGUAUGCAAGUUUACAUCAAAACAUUUUCAAAUAUUUAAUUGACAUUUUUUUUUAAUCUUCAUUUUCAAAUAUCUAAUUGACAUUUUAUUUCACUAUAAUUAACCAUUUUCAAAUAACUAGUAGACAAUUCAAGUAACUACACAACCAUUUUCAAGUCACUAUUAAACGUUUAAGUUACUAUACUUGACCAUUUUCAAAUAACUUAUUCACAUUGCAAGUCACCACACUUAAAAUAUUUUCAAGUCACUAUUAAACGUUUAAGUUACUAUACUUGACCAUUUUCAAAUAACUAGUAGACAAUUCAAGUAACUACACUUUAUUAUUUUAAAGUUAUUAGUACAAUUUCAAGUGACUACACUUAACCAUUUCCAAGCAUCAAGUUCACAAUUUCUAGUAAAUACACUUAACAGUUUUCAAGUCACAAGUUCACAAUUUCAAGUAACUACACUUAAUCAUUUUCAAGUCAUUACAAUUAAUAAUUUUCAAAUAACUUAUUCCCUGGUACACAUUUCAAGUCACUACACUCAAACCAUUUUCAAAUAGCUAAUUAACAUUUCAAAUCACUAUUCUUAACUAUUUUCAAAUCACUAGUGCACAUUUCAAGUAACUACACUUAACCAUUUUCAAAUAACUAGUAGACAUUUCAAGUCACUACAUUUAACCAUUUUCAAAUAACUCGUUCACAUUUCAAGUCACUAUACUUAACCAUUUUCAAAUAAUUAAUUCACAUUUCAAGUCCCUACGCUUAAACAUUUUCAAGUUAUAAGUCACAAAAAUUGAAGAGUAUAUUUUUUAUAAAAAAUACUUCCAUACUUGCACAGUUCCAUAAAAUAAAGUCCAGUCGUGCAUUUUGAAUUUAAACCAUAUAUAGAAUAUUCCCAACUACUCACUAAAUCAUUUAUAUCUUAACUAUCUAAUAUUCUGUAAUUGAAUUGAUUAAGCUUUUAUGAAGAAGACCACCUCAUCAGGCCACCUAUUACUACAUGACAAAACUAACUAAUCAAAUAAAGCAGGGUUCUUGAAGUUGUUGAAUUUUCAAUCGAAUAAAAUGUCUUAUUAUUGUUGGCCAGAAUAAAGAAUAAGAGCAUAUGAAACGAGGUGGAAUGUGAUUCCGUUGAGAUGUUCUAGCUACACAUUUAUACAACACUCCACCAAUACAUAACAUCACAAAUAAAUGAAGAAUUUGUAUUCAUUUCAUGGAUGAAUAACAAUUAAGUCAUCCAGUGCCCAGUUCAGAAAGUGAAGUUAGCCAGGAAUGAAAUCGGAACAUUCAAAAUAGAGAAACUCAGAUCCAAGUUAACCCACAUAUUUCAUAUUCCAAAACAAGUAAAGUAGAUCCGAGAAUGACCUUACCGGAGACAAAUUCAUUAUGCAAUUGAUAUGUAAAGCAUUGGAAUCGAACCCUUGACACCCUCGUGGGGUUCGAUAAAGCAGGUGAUGGUGCAAAUGGCAUGGCUCUGCAGCGGCGAGAGGAGGGAAGGGAGAACGGAGGGUCUUCGCCGGAGAAGGAGGGCGCCGAAGGCGUGACAGGACUUGGCUCGGAGCUGGCGUUGAUGGUGGCGGAAAGAGAAGAGCAGUGGCGGCGCCAUAGCUGGCGUUGCUAGUUCGGUCUCUUGCCGGUGAUGGCGACAGCGGGAGAGGGCUAUUGAAGGUGGCAUGGUUGUUGGAGGCAGCGCGGAUAGAUCAGAGUAGAGGGGGGAGAUCAAGACUUGGAGGGGUUUUGUGGAGAGAGAGAGGGAGAGGGGAGAUAGAGAGAGAGUGUUGGAGGCGGAAGUUUUAAAAAAUGACUAGGGUUUGGGGUAUUAGAUUCUUAAAAGGAAAUGGAUGAUCGAAAUCAUCUCCGACUGGGAUUAAAAAUGGGGUUAACUCUUCAAUUUUGAUAUAGUUGUGACUAAAAUUGACACGAGCUGAAUUAAAUUGGCUAGAUUUAUAAUAAAUUGGAUAGAAUGAACUAAAAUUAUAGUGACUUAGACAAAAAUUGAACCACAAGAUAAAUUAAUUAGCAAAGUAAUUUAUAAUUUGGGUUGUUAUUUAAAUAAUAUAUAAAUAAUGAAUAAUAAUGAUAAUAAAUAAUAAUAACAAACAAUAAUAAAAAUAAUAACGAAAAUAAAUAAUGCUAAAUAAUGGAAAAUUAGAUAAUUUAUUUGCAAAAAAUGUGAGUAUGCACUGUUGUGUGAUUUCGAUUAGGCUGUUAUUUAAAUUCUAGCAGAGAUAAUAGAAGUAAAUAAAUAAUAUAUAAUAAUAAAUAAUGAUAAUAAUAAUAAUAAAUAAUAUAUAUGAUAACAAUGUUAAUAAUAAGAAGAAUAAUGAUGCUACAUUAGACAUGUAUUUCCAAAACGUGAGUGUGGCACAUACAAAAUUUGUUUGAUACAAGAAAAAUGUGUAAAAGAUACUAAAAUGUCAUCUAAUAUAGCAUCAAACUUAAUUUACAAAUAGAACACAGUACACAUUCGUGUACACAGAUACCCCCCAAAAUAAAAUGGACUAGAUGAUAACCAUGUCGCUGGUCGAUCUGUGGAGGGUACAGUGUACGCAAACCUUCUCAAAAACCUAUUCAAACUUGAAGAUUCUUGUAAAAUAAAACACAUCAUGUAGGAUUUUUGCAAAGAUGAGAGUAUGCAGGGUUACGAAGAAAAAAUAAUUUAAUAAAUCUUAAUAAAAUUACGUAAAAAUGUCGUGUUUGAAUGGAUAAUAUUAUAAAACGAUAUUAAAAGAUAAUAAAAAUAAUUUGUGCACUUUUCUAAAUUAUAAAUGUGACUCAUCAUUAUGUAUUUAAUGUAAGGAUAAUGUGAAAAAUAAUAAUAUAGAAAUUUCAAAAAUUUUGAUAAAACAUCAGCUUAAGCAAUAUCGGGAGGUCAAAAUUGGGUGUCAACAGGGAGAAAAUGAGGAUAGGGUUUGAUAUUUUAUUUAAAAGGAGAGAUUGGUUGAUCUGAUCUCAGCCGUUAGAUCAACUUUGAUCAACGACUGAGAUUAAGACAUUUAAAAGUAGGUCAAUUGGAAUUUAAAUUAGGUUAAAAAAAUACUGAAUUGGAGAUUUCGAUUAUGUUAAUAUAACGUAUUAAUAUGAUGAAUUGUCGGUUAAUUGUCUUCAUUAUUAUAACUUCAAUAAUGUAUUAUUACCUCGAUCAUAUGAUGUUAACGUAUUAUUCAAAAUAUUUGAUUAUAUAUAUUCAGUUAGCUAGCUUUUAACUAUAUACAUCACAUACACGAGUAUAUUACCUCGUAAUACAGCGUAUUUUAUUUCUACUCUAAUGAAUUAUUAAUUAGUUUAGCUUACAUUAUUAUAUUAUAAUUUUAAAAAUAUAUUAUUACCUUGAUCAAUCGAUCGUAUGCCAUCAAUGUAUUCAAUAUAUAUAGUUAAUUGACUAUAAAAUUCACAAUAUAUAAUAGAUACAUCACAUCCACAUGUAAAUUAACUCGUAAUACAACAUUUUGUAUAUAUACAAUGAUAAAUUAUUAUUUAAUUUAGCUUAUAUUAUUUUAUUAUAACUUCAACAGUAUAUUUUUUUUUAUCAAUCGAUCGUAUGAUAUCAAUGUAUUCAAUAUAUAAUUGAAUACAUUUAACUUUUUUUAAUAUAAAAAUUAUUUAUUUAAUAGUAAAUUAAAAAUCAGACAUCCGAAGGCAGUGUCGCUUUCAUAAAGUUAAUUUUUAUUUAGUUUUAACAAAAGCGAUGAUGUCCGUUGUUUUUUGAAAAAAUAAAGAAAAAUUAAAAAUAUUUAUAAAUUGCGACAGACAGUGUCGCUUUUAUAGAAUUAAAAUUUUAGAAAACAAAAAUUAUUGCGACGUUGUCCGUCGCUUUUAAUAAAACUUAAAAAAAAAAAAGUGACGGACUACGUCGCUUUUCAAAAAAUUAAUUUCUAUACAAAAGCGACGUCGUCCGUCGCUUUUUGUAAAAAAUAAAUAAAUAUUAAAAAUAAUUAUCAAUUGUGACGGACAGCGUUGCUUUUCUAGAAUUAAAAAUUUUGAAACUAAAAAUUAUUCCGACGUUGUCUGUCCCUUUUAAUAAAAAUUAAAUUUAGAAAGCGACGGACAACGUCGCUUUUCAAAAAAAAAAUUUAUUUAAUUUUAACAAAAGCGACAUUUGUCCGUCGUUUUUUCUAAAAAAUAAAGAAAAAAUUAAAAUAAUUACAAAUUGCGAUGGACAACGUCGAUUUUCUAGAAUUAAUAUUUCAAAAAAUAAAAAUUAUAGCAACGUCGUCCGUCGCUUUUAAUAAAAAAUAAACAAAAACAAAAAUCAAAUUUAAAAAACGACGGACUACGUCGAUUUUAAAAAAAUAUAAAUUAUUAUUUUUUAAUAAAUUACGAUGUUGUCCAUCGCUUUUAUUAAAAAAAUAUUAUGAAUUAUUUUUUAAUUAAAUGGCACAAAAAUCGAUGUAAAAAAAGUGACAGAUAUUGUGACGUUGGCCGUUGUUUUUUAAAAAAAUAAAUAAAAAUUAAAAUUAAACUAAAAAAGCAACGAGAAAAGCGACCUUGGCUGUCGCUUUUAAUAAAAAAUAAAUAAAAAUUAAAAUUAAACUAAAAAAGUGACGGCCAACGUCACUUUUCUCGUCACUUUUAAAAGCGACACUAGCCGUCGCUUCUUUUGCAUCGCUUUUUGGCAGCUUUUUAGUAGUGAAAAAGAUUUUUUUACAAUAAGUAGUUUUGUUUUUAUAAAAGAAAAUGUAAAAAAGAUGGUAGGAAUUUUGUACAUCUCAUAUAACGAAAAUACCAAAAAGAUUUCUUUUCCCUUUCAUAGUUGUUGGUGUCAAUUUUGUGUGAAGCGUCUAAUUGAAAAUCCAAAAAAUUUUAUUUUCAUCGUUCGUCUGCAAUCGCGUCUCUUAAGUUAAGUCUUAGUUCGUUUGAUCCUUAAUUGUCCAACCUGGACGAACUACGCAUACCUGAUUCCCAUCCCUCGGGGCGGGAUACGUAGGCAUACCUUAGUGAGUUCGAUAAUCUUUAUUUUUUGGCUUUUGUCUUAGUCAUAGCCUAAGUUUUUCUCCUAGUAAUUUAGUGUUGUUAGCGGGUUCUUGCCAAGUAGGCUGAUAUUAUUCAGUGCUACUGUUCGGCAAAUUUGAUUCAUAAAAUGGUCUGUCCCUUCGACACACAUCUGCGUCACAAUCCCAUGGGUGGGGAUCUUUUCCAGUCUUAUUAAAUGUUUAAGUUAAUGUCCUAUGUGUUAUUACAGGAUGGAUCUGUCCACAAAGCCUAGAGUUCUUAUGGUUGUCAAGGUACCCAAAAAGUUGGUGAAGUGGUGGGGCACAUUCGACUACUCUAAAAAGCACGAAGUGAGGAAAGUGUUAGACAAUCUUGUAGCACUCAUGGAUCUCACACCUCGUUUGGACCUACUAGAAUCUGCGUUGACUUUUUGGGAUCCAAACAAUUUGGUGUUUAGGUUUGGAAGUUGUGAAUUGACUCCUACCCUGGUAGAAAUAUCUCGUUUGUUUCAAUUGACUUAUAUGGGUCAGCAGAUGAUUUUAGUCCGCAAUCAUACUCGUAAGAGAUUUCUUCGACUCUGUGGAUUGAAAGAUAACAAGCAUCUGGGAUGUCUCAAACAAUCUUGGAUUUUCUUUGAUUAUUUAUUUGCUAGAUUUGGGUCCUUAGAGGGUUUCGACUGCUUUUGGGAUGAAUUCUGUACCAGAAAAAAAUUUGGGAACAACACGUCUUGAGGUUUUCUGUCUGGCUUUGUUGGGCAUCUUAGUGUUCCCGUUAGAUGAGAGAUGUAUCAAUACUCGUCUACAAUCAGUGGUGAUAGCUUUAUUCAAGAAAAAAGAUGAGGUCACCAUUGUACCAAUGAUCUUAACAGAAAUAUAUAAGGCUUUAACUGAAGUGAAAGGAGGGGUACAAUUUUUUUAGGGGAGUAAUAUGAUAUUGCAGUUGUGGAUGAUGGAGCAUUUGCAUAUGCCUUCUUUGAUUAAAGCAGAUGUGGUCAACCGUUGUCUGAAUGAUCGAGUGUAAGCCAUACAAGAGAAAAUGCGUUUUGAUAAAUUUUCUUUUCCUAUAGGAGUCAAUGCUUGGGUUGAAUUUCUCAAAUCAAGAACUCUGAAUAACAUUCUUUGGUCCUAUAUGUAGUUUCAUCCUAAGAAAAUCUUGAUAGGAUCUCAGAUGCAACUCCUUCUGAUUUUGAUAGGACUUAAUUGCACUAGGUCUUACAGUCCGAGAAGGGUGAUGCAUCAGUUGGGUAGGGUGCUAGACGUCCCACCAGUAAUGGACCUUCUAAAGGAUGUAGAGUACUUUAAAGUCCUAGCCAAUUGGAAGUGGACCUUUAUCUAUCAAAAAUCCUAUCACUGAAGAAGAAGCCGAAGAAUUUUUGAAAAAGAUGAAAUUGCCAGAGUAUUCAAUAAUAGAUAAGUUGAAGAAAACCCCUACUUAGAUUUCUCUCUUAUCAUUGUUGUUGCAUUCCAAGGAACAUCGUGAUAUUUUAUUGAAGGUAUUAAAUGAAGCAUAAUUUCCUAGGGAGGUUACAGUAAAUCAGCUUGAGAAAAUGGUUGGAAAAAUCUUUGAGGUCAAUCCAAUCAGCUUCUCUGAUGACUAAUUGCCAAUUGAAGGUACAGGGCAUAAUCGGGGGCUUUAUAUUACCGUGAAGUGUGAAGAUUUUUAUGUCACUUAUGUCAUGAUUGAUGGAGGGUCUGGCGCAAAUAUUUGCCCUAUUUCCACCUUGCAAAAGUUGAACAUUGGUGUUGAGAGGAUCAGGCCCAACAAUGUAUAUGUCAGGGCUUUCGAUGGAGCAAAGUCCAACUCCAUUGGCGAAAUAGAACUAAUAUUGAUUAUAGGUCCUGUUGAAUUCGCCCUAGAGUUUCAAGUAUUGAAUAUCGACUUCUCUUACAAUCUGUUGUUGGGAAGACCAUGGAUCCAUAAGGCCAAGGCGGUUGCGUCUACAUUGCACCAGAUGAUCAAGUUUGAGCAUGACAGACAAGAAGUGGUUAUUCACGAUGAAGGGGAUUUGUUCGCCUACGAAGAUUCUCCCUUGUCUCUAAUUGAAGAAAACAACGUAGACGAGACAUUUGUCUAUCAAACUUUUGAUACAGUGCCAGUAAAUAUUAUCCUUGAAGGAAAGAUUGUUUCGGGACCACAAUUGUCUUCCACUUCUAUCAUGAUGGUGAGUGAGCUUUUGAAAUAUGGAUUUGUGCCAAGGAAGGGUUUGGGAGUGUCUCUGCACGGUAUCAUUCGUACCAUAUGUCCGAGAGAGAAUAUGGACACUUAUGAUCUGGGAUUUGAACCUACGGCUAAAUAUUUGAAGAAGGCCAAGGGAAGGAAAAAAGAAACAUGGUCACUCCCUCGCCCAAUGCCGCUACUCAGUGAAUCAUUUGUCAAGAGCGAUGUAAAGAAACCUGUAGAAUUUGAAGCUAAAUUGGUUGAUGACUUCCAGAACUUGCUGAUUGAUGUUGACAUAGUUGAAGUAGGAGAGGGUACUAGUAAGGCAGACGUGCAGUUCAUGGGUCCUGAGGUCCAGCUCAACAAUUGAGAAGUCACUCCUUUCCCCAUCAGGAGGGAGUUUUGGUAGUUUAUUUUGUAUUUCUUUCUAUUUAUCCGAGUUAUUCCAGGGUUGUAAUUUGGAAUUUAGCUUGUUUACAUUCUGUUGUCAUUUGUGUUUAAACCCUUCUAUCUUUCCCUUUUAAUGAAAUGCAAUGUCCCCUUAUUUUGUGUCUAAUAUAUUUUAUUUUUGUCUUUUUCUAUAUGCAGUUCUCUUUAUGCUGAUUCUAAUGACACGACAUGCAUGGGGAGUUUUCAGCCUGAUCUUAAAAUCCAAACUAAUCAAGAUAUAAUGAAGCAAGAGGGAGAAUAUGAUGAAGAAGAGGCACUACAGGAAAUAAGCAAAGAGUUGGAAUAGUUUGAAGAUAAGACGAAUCCUAAUUUGAAUGAAACUGAGCCAAUUAAUCUAGGGAAUCAAGAAGAUGUUAGGGAAACUAAAAUUAGUGUACAUACUUUUCCACAGCUAAAAGAUGGAACGAUUUAAGCAUUAAUUAACCAUAAGGAUGUUUUUGCAUGGUCUUAUGAUGAUAUGUCUGGUCUAAGUACCGAAUUAGUGGCCCAUAAAUUUCCAACUGAUCCUGCAUUCCCCCCUGUGAAACAGAAGUUGAGGAAGUUUAAAACUGAUGUAAGUAUCAAAAUCAAAGAAGAAAUCAUGAAACAACUUGAAGCCAAAGUCAUUUGAGUGGCUCGUUAUCCUAUGUGGUUAUCCAAUGUUGUUCCUGUCCCAAAGAAAGAUGGCAAAAUUCGAGUAUAUGUUGAUUACCAUGAUUUGAACAGAGCAAGUCCGAAGGAUGAUUUUCCGUUGCCCAACAUCCAUAUUUUGAUGGACAAUUGUGCUAAACACGAGGUUGCCUCUUUUGUGGAUUGCUAUGCCGAAUACCACCAGAUCAUUAUCGAUGAUGAAGAUGUGGAUAAGACAUCUUUUAUCACACCAUGGGGGACUUAUUACUAUCGAGUGAUGCCGUUUGGUUUGAAGAAUGCUGGAGUAACAUACAUGAGAGCCAUGACCACUAUGUUUCAUGAUAUGAUGCAUAUGGAGAUUGAGGUCUAUGUAGAUGAUGUGAUUAUUAAAUCAAAGAUUCAGGCUGACCAUGUUAAAGAUUUAAGAAAGUUAUUUGGGAGGCUUUGCAGGUAUAAUCUCAAGCUCAUCUGGCAAAAUAUGUAUUUGGAGUUCCAUCUGGAAAGCUGUUGGGUUUGUAGUCAACCGUCGGGGAAUUGAAUUGGAUCCCUCGAAAAUCAAAGCCAUCCAGGAUUUGCCUCCGCCCAAGAAUAGGACGAAGGUGAUGAGUUUGCUGGGUAGAUUAAACUACAUCAGUAGGUUCAUUGCUCAACUCACAACCACUUGCGAGCCCCUUUUCAAGUUGCUGAAGAAGAGUGAUGCUGUUGAGUGGAUUGAAGAAUGCCAGGAAAUGUUUGAUAAAAUCAAAGAUAUCUGUCAAAUCCACCCGUGCUAGUACCACCGAAGCCUGGUAAGCCUAGACGUGAUUGGACCGAUUGAGCCAAAAGCGUCGAAUAGGCAUAGGUUUAUUUUGGUGGCCAUCGAUUACUUCACAAAGUGAUUAGAAGCAGUAACUUUUAAGUCAGUGACAAAGAAGGAGGUAGUAGAUUUUGUUCAUGCCAACAUCAUUUGUAGGUUUGGAUUGCUAGGUUAUCACACUACUGUUAGCACUUUAACAAGGACAACUCCAUAUUUAUUGGUGUAUGGGAUAGAAGAAGUCAUUCCUACAGAAGUUGAAAUUCCCUCUCUUUGAGUCAUUGUGGAAGCAGAGAUUGAUUAUGACGAGUGGGUCAAAACCCGACUGGAACAAUUGAGUUUGAUUGAGGAAAAAAAGGCUAACUUUGGUAUGUCAUGGCCAAUUGUAUCAGAAGAGAAUGGCUCGGGCGUAUAACAAAAAGGUACGAUCCAGGAAUUUUGAAGUUGGUCAGUUAGUAUUGAAGCAUAUCCUCCAUCAUCAUGUUGAAGCUAAAGGCAAGUUCUUCCCAAAUUGGCAAGGUCCCUUUAUUGUGAAGAAAGUGUUGCCCAAUGAGGUCUUUGACAGAUAUUGAAGGCAAAAUGGCAGAGAUGGAUUCAAUGCUGAUGCGGUCAAAAGAUAUUAUGUAUGAUAUUUUAUCAUUUGUUGGUUUUAUUGCAUGUUUAGUUCUUGCAUUCUUGACGAUUGAUAUGAUGAAGGUAUUUAAUUCUGCUAUCCAAACAUUGUGUCAUCCUUUGUUUACCCCGUUUGAGCCUAGUUUUAUUUUUCUUUUAUACCCCUCUUUUGAAAUCAAAAUAGAGUAAAAAAUAAAAUGUCAAGAAAAGAAGAAUAAAAGAAAAGCAUGAAAAAAAUAUAAUAAUAAUAAUAAAAGAAAAAAAAGAGAAUAAAAAAAAUCAAAUCAAAACAAAGAAUAAGCUGAUGGAACUACGUGCGACCUGAUUCUCCUCUCUCGAGAGUGAGAUACAUAGGCUGCCUUAUUUCGGGCUCAGUCCAACCAAAUAAAAUUUUUAGAGUCACCCAGUCGAAAAAAACUAGGGUAUGAGCUAAUAUGUUGUUGAGUUGAUUCCAAAAGUUGUAAAUCCCACCCCCACUUUAAGUGUCGUUUGAGCCUCCUGCCAUCCUUUUCUUUCUAACCGUAUCCAAAAAACAAGUUACAACCAAAGAAAGACCUUCAAAUCAAUCUUUGAUAAUGUUAAGGCUAAGCAUGCAAUGGAUACUAUGAUGUAGUUUAGGGGUACUACUCCUCUUCCUCAGUAUAAGAAAUCAGGAAAGAAAUAAAAAUGAGAGAGUCUUAUUGGUGAAAACCCUCGCGGGCACCAUAAGGCAAUGGUAAGUUGAGAGAAAUAAAAAUGAGAGAGUCUUACUGGUGAAAAUCCUCACGGGCACCAUAAGGCGAUGGGGAGUUUAGAGAAAUAAAAAUGAGAGAGUCUUAUUGGUAAAAACCCUUAUGGGCACCGUAAGGCGAUGGCGAGUUCAAGAGAAAGGUGAAAAGAAAAGAGGUUUGUUGAUGAAAAUCUUCUAAGAUGUCGUCAAUUUAAUGAGAUGUAUGAGUCCAAUAAGUUGAAGAAGCGGCAUCGGUAAAGGCACGAGCUCAACAACAAAUAGGAAUUUUGGAUAGGAAGAUCAGACAGGCAGCUUAAUCUAAAAUGCAUGUCAUUGUCAUUGGAGUAGGUUGUCGUUUUUCAGAUAAGUUUUCUUCUUUGUUAAAAAGAGGGACAUUGCCAUUUUCUUUCAUUUACUCAUUUAUAUUUUAUCCUUUUAUGUCUUCUAUCAAAAGAAAAUUCACCAUUGUUUCUUUACAUUUUUGAGUCUAUUCUGUGUCAAAAUGAGCGAGAAAGGAUUUCAAAACUUGCUACCAGUCUCCCCAAUUGUAUAAGGAAAAGCCAAGGACCAGCACAUGAAAGAAACAUGAUCAUAAUUCAAGACAUAACAAAAAAAGUUCAUCAACCGACAGGUUCUUAGGUGCAUGAAAUAUUCAUCUUUCAAAAGGGACAUCUCAGAGACACACUUAAAGAGAAACUCGGUAUUUGAGUCAAAGUCUUUUCCCAUGAUCUGGUUUGGGUCAAUGAUGCGACAAGACAGGGGCAAGCAUCAGCGAUCUGAAACAAAGAUGAAAGGAACAACUGUUAGAGUAGAAGCCUGAGAAGCCAAGUGCUGCAAGCCACCACUAAGUUUCUAACUGAAAAAUUUUCUUUGUUGAAACAGGGGCAAAUUCGCUUCACUUAAUUCAGUUACCAUUGGAAAAACACAUCUAUGAGAUUUUACUUUUUGUUAAGGACCCUCCUAAAAAAUGGGAUUUUACUUUAUAUUCAGGACCCUCCUGAAAAAUGGGAUUUUAUUUUCUGUUCAGGACCCUCCUGAAAAUGGGAUUUUAUUUUCUGUUCAGGACCCUCCUGAAAAAUGGGAUUUUACUUUUUGUUCAGGACACUCCUGAAAAAUGAAAUUUUACUUCUGUUCAGGACCCUCCUGUAAAAUGGGAUUUUACUUCUGUUCAGGACACUCCUGAAAAAUGGGAUUUUACUUUCUGUUCCGGACUCUCUUGAAAAAUGAGAUUUUACUUUCUGUUCAGGACCCUCAUGAAAAAUAAAAUUUUAUUUUCUGUUUAGGAUCCUCCUAAAAAAUAGUAUUUUACUUUCUGUUUAGGACCCUCCCGUAAAAUGGAAUUUUACUUUAUGUUCAAGACCCUCCUACAAAAUAGGAUUUUAAUUUUUGUUCAAGACCCUCCUCCAAAAUGGGAUUUUACUUUCUGUUCAGGACCCUCCUGAAAAAUGGGAUUUUACUUUCUAUUCAGGACCCUCCUGAAAAAUGGGAUUUUACUUUCUGUUCAGGACCCCCUAAAAAAUGGGAUUUUACUUUAUUUUCAGGACCCCCCUGAAAAAUGGGAUUUUACUUUAUGUUUAGGACCCCCCUGAAAAAUGGGAUUUUACUUUCUGUUCAGGACCCCCCUGAAAAAUGGGAUUUUACUUUCUGUUUAGGAUCCUCCUAAAAAAUGAGAUUUUACUUUCUUGUUCAGGACCCACCUGAAAAAUGGGAUUUUACUUUCUAUUCAGGACCCUUCUGAAAAAUGAGAUUUUACUUUCUGUUCAGAACCCUCCUGAAAAAUGGGAUUUUACUUUCUGUUCAGGUCCCUCCUGAAAAUGGGACUUUACUUUCUAUUCAGGACCCUCCUGAAAAGUGGGACUUUACUUUCAUGUUUAGGAACCCGCCUGUAGAACGGGGUGAGAAAUUGUAAGUCUGGAGCCUGGCUAAAGAAUAGGGUGAUAAAAUUGAAAGUUGACAAAAUUGUAAGUCAGGUGCCCGCCUGAAGAACAGGGUGAGGAAAUUGAAAGUCAAAAAUAGCAGGUCAAAAGCCCACCUGAAGAACAUAGUGAAGAAGUUAAAAGUUAAGCAACAGGGUGAAGAAAUUUCAAGUCAGGAGCCCGCCUGAAGAAUAGGGUGAUGAAGUAGCGAGUCAAGAGUCAAGGAAAGCUGCAUAGAUAGGAUUUUGUAAUUUCAUUUAUGUUUUAACUUGUAAUUUUCAUUUUUGAUGCAAUAAUAGAGAUGCAGAACGAAACCUCGAUGGGACCUCACUCGACUCUCCAACUCGGCAUAGCUCAUCUCUCUCCAAUCCUUCAAGAUACCUGUCACUUGACUUCCUCAUGACUCAGGUAGAUGGGAUGUCCGUCAGGAUUCGGUUGUCCUUCUUUCUUCUAUUUUUUUCUUUGAAUAAUGAUCGGGACAAAGUUCUGUCUUGUUUUCUACUUCUUUGUAUGAAAACACAUGGUGUUUACAUUCAAAGGGGGCAUGAUGUAGACACAUAAUUUUAUCCCUUCGAUAAAAUUUCUUACUCUGAUAUUACACAAUCUAACCCCAUUUUUGUAAUUUUUCCCCAAGAAAAUAAAUAACCUCCUCAUCUUUUACUUAUUUAUGUACUUAUUUUUGUUUUGUUUUUAUCCAAAUAACAAGUCAUAACAAACUUUGUCUCAUUCUAAUAUUCCAACAACCCGCCCAAUUAAAAAACAACACCUUACCCCUCACCUAACUACCCUCACCCCUACCCCCCACGUGACCCCCUCCUUUUUCUUGGCCACAAAGGAAAUAUAUACAUUGAGGAAACUUCCAAGAAGGGAUCAUAUCAACUAGGAGGGACCACUUUUAUUUUCUUUUCUUGAACAAUAUAUAUUUUCCAUCACACAAGAAAAAGGGAGUCAUUCUCACGCACAGUGUUUUUUUUUCUUUUUUUCCAUUUUGGAGAUUUUUCUUUUUCACGGAGGCACAAGAAAAACUCCAUACACUCACAUACCACACGGGAUUGUUCCAUAAAAUACACAUAAUACACUGAUUCACACAAAAAACACAAAGACCCACCAUGAAGGGAGAGAAAACCCUAUAGAGAGAGAGAUUUGAGCAUGAGAGAGGAGAGAAAAUGCACGCAAGAGAGGGAGUAAAAUGUGGGAGUUGAAAAGGAAGAGAAGAGUCAGAGAGGAACAGUUAUUCCGGCGAAUUCUUGCCGAAAUCGCCAAUCGGAGAACACCGCUAGUCAUCGUUGUUGUUGUUCCGACCGAUUCUAGCCGGAGAACAUCAUCAACCGUCCGAAAUUCAGCGAAAUUCGGUCUGUUUCCAUCCAAUUUCACUGGAAAUUUCAACAAUCUAUCAAUAACCUCUUUUCCCUUCACUUUUUCAAGCCUAUCGGAGUUUGCCACUCCGGUCAAAUCAUGUCUAAAAUUGAUAAAAAAAAUGUGUUGUUCCCUUGUCGUCUUCAGAUAGUCCGAGGAGGCCGAGACUUGAAGAGUUGACCGUGAAGGUGGAUUUGUUGAGGUUCCGUGGCUUUGUGAGUUCCGAUCCAUCUUGGUUAUUCAAAAUAAAAUCGUCAAAUUGAGGUCCAAUUCUACUUCCUUCAUCUUUUUAUUUCAUCGUUUAUUCUAUUCAGAACAUGAUAUGAAUUGUUGUUGUUACGAUUCUGUGAUUCAUUUUGUGAUAGUGGACCGCAUGUUGAAAUGACACUUUAUUGAUGUUUAGAAUGUAUUUGGAUCGGGAAUCAAAAAUUGAUAAAAGUGAAUAUUAUGGUAUUUUGAUUCAUUGUUGAUGUUGAACGUUAUAUGUCGUCGAGCGGGUAGGCAAACAGAAGGCUCGG